rnacentral:rRNA from 1 species
AUUGGAGGGCAAGUCUGGUGCCAGCAGCCGCGGUAAUUCCAGCUCCAAUAGCGUAUAUUAAAGUUGUUGCAGUUAAAAAGCUCGUAGUUGGAUUUCUGUUAAUAAUUUAUAUAUAAUAUUUUUAAUAUUUAUAUAAUAUUAACAUAAUUCAUAUUACUAUAUAUUAUUAUUAGUAUAUGAAAUUUUACUUUGAGAAAAUUAGAGUGCUUAAAGCAGGCAUAUGCCUUGAAUACUCCAGCAUGGAAUAAUAUAAAAGAUUUUUAUCUUUUUUAUUGGUUCUAAGAUAAAAAUAAUGAUUAAUAGGGACAGUUGGGGGCAUUUGUAUUUAACAGUCAGAGGUGAAAUUCUUAGAUUUGUUAAAGACAAACUAGUGCGAAAGCAUUUGCCAAGGAUGUUUUCAUUAAUCAAGAACGAAAGUUAGGGGAUCGAAGACGAUCAGAUACCGUCGUAGUCUUAACCAUAAACUAUGCCAACUAGAGAUUGGAGGUUGUUCCUUACUCCUUC